UCAAAUACGCCCGCCUUUGUUGCUGGGGACCUAAAAAUGUUGCUGGCAACCUGAAAAUGCAACUGGGAAGCAUGUUGCCGGCAAGGUAAAAAAAUGUAUGGUAUGGGCAUAAGGAAUGUUUAAGUAGGGGGUUAUCACGAACGGACAAAGAACCAACCUUACUUUGAUUUCGUGGCCUUCCCACAUCGGCGAACAUUUCAUAUGUUGGCAGCCUAAAAAUGUGACAAGGAAACAUGUUGCUGGCAAGGUAAAAAAAAUGUAUGGUAUGGACAUAAGGUAUGUUUCAAGUAAGACGCUCUCACGAACUGGCACGAACCAAUUACUUUGAUUUCGUAGUCUUCCCUCCUCGGAGAAAAUUUUAAUAUGUUACUGGGGACCUAAAAAUGUGACUGGGAAACAUGUUGCCGACAAAGUAAAAGAGGUAUGGUAUGGACAUGCUAUGGUAAUAUAUAUUUUGGGUUUCGAAAUUUUUUGGAAUAUUUAAGCUAGAACCACCACACCUCCCACCCAGCCCCAUGGGCCAGAUUUAUAUUGCUGACGUGGCUUCUGUCAUUUUCAGGAUAUCCCCAAAAAACCUUUUCACUUUUUAUCUGUUUCACCAGCAAGGCGUUUGCGCAGUAGGAAUCAAAUGCGUCACAUAUGUGUAGAUGCUUCUGCUUUUGACGUCUUUGACAAUGGUUGCAGAUUAUUAAUUUGUAUUUACGAGUGUGAUGCAAUGCCAACAAAUUUGAGAAGUUUGCGUAACACAGCGUUACCAUCCCCCAUACAUACUAAUGUACAUACCUAUGUAAAUGAAGAUUAAAUAGCAAGGAUCUAGUCCACUUGUUUUUUUUUUUUUAAUUUCACAGAGCCAUUACACUUGGUCAAGGGUCCAAAGCUCCCAUUUUUCCAAAGCCAACAAACAAGUUGCGACAACACGGCAAAAAUGGCUUAAAAAAAAAAAAAAAAAAAACAGCUACACCAGUCGCUGUUCAGUGGCGACAAUAUCCCCUCCCCAUAACUUUGGCCACACGUGAUAAGGUGUAUGCUGUAUGCAGCACAUGCAACAAGUCAAGGAUAUUGUAUGUGGUGUGUUGGUGUCUGGAUUGGGAUUGGCGGCGUUUGUGGUUUUAAUUUACGAGCUGUGCUGUAAGAAAAAAAUUAAACACAGGGUAGCCUCAUUUGCAGAUUUAAGAUCUGAAAUGGCGUCAUCGAUAGCACGGGCCUUUUUCGCUGAGAGUGUCAAUGUUCGUGAUUGAGGUAGCGAGUAUAUAUGUAUAUACAUAUGCGUCUAACUCAAUACCUACACGAAUAUCCUUUUCCAAAUGCAUACAUAUGUAUACGUACAUACAUAUGUACAUAGGAAUGUUCAUACAUACAUAUUUACCGAACUUGUGUACUCCGUGCGUAUUGGGUAUUAAAUAAAAUAAUUCUAGGAAAAAGUUUAAAUUUCGCAUGAUCAUGCCUUCGCUUCGUCUUACGCGGCACAGAACAAAACCAAUCGCGGAAAUGAGGUGGGCCAGAAUAUCGUUAGGGUUCCUUGUGCCUGGUAUACCCCGAGCUCAGCAGCAGAUGUACGUUGGGCACGAGUUUGUUGCUGUCGCGCAGAAUACUUUUUGAAUGAUGACUUUCGUUUUUUAGGGACUUGUUCUGCUUUAUAAGAAUGCGAUUGGACGGCUGGCUAACCUGUUUUCUGGAGCUGGACGGGAGACUCCAGCUCCAGCCGCCGUAGUGGCAACUUAAGCAGCCACCGUUACCGCCGCUGAGGUCGCGAUAAAGCUUUUUAGCCGUUGUCUUUUGUCCAGCGCGAGGUUCAAGGAUAAGGACCGCUCGACUUCGAAAAGUGGAUUGUGUACGUGUCGGCGAAAUUUGAUCGUCUCCUUGAAAAUCAACCAUUUUUUUCAAACCCCAGCUAGAAUUACUAAAGAAUUAGUUUGGCUGACACGCAGUAUUCUCGGUGGUGUGAAAGGAUUGCUUACAACAGCAGACUUCAAACAAUUUAUUUACAGAAGCGAAGUUCUGAGCACAUGGCACAUCCAGUCACACAUGGACACUGCCUGGCCUCGGGGGACAACACAUGUGCUCGCUUGCCCCGCCCUGCGACCUUCAGCGGCGUCAGCCUGAUUUGCGAUUUUUCAUGGAAACUGCACUGUCGGCGACUAAUGGAACAUAUGGUGACCAGAAAGAGAAGGAUAGGAACGUACACAUCCUUAAAUGCAAAAUGUGUGAAAUUUGCGCCCAGUCGCGCUGAGACUGGCGACAUAGUGUCUUCACAUGACGUAUUCCUUGCUGGGAAAAUGUUUGACUCUGCCUGGGAAAUUAUGAGUAUGCGCACAUCUGGUGUAAGCUGGGAACGAACUCCCGCCUAAUCUAACUAGUAUGUAACAGCAGGUGAUUAAGGCGACCCACACCAAAAUGGUUUGGUUUCAACCUCCUCCCCCCCCAAACACACCUCAAUUAAAUAUUUAAAUAUAUCGGA